rnacentral:rRNA from 1 species
UACGGAGGGUGCAAGCGUUAUCCGGAUUCACUGGGUUUAAAGGGUGUGUAGGCGGGUCAUUAAGUCAGUGGUGAAAUCUCCGAGCUCAACUUGGAAACUGCCAUUGAUACUAUUGAUCUUGAAUUCUGUUGAGGUGGGCGGAAUAUGUCAUGUAGCGGUGAAAUGCAUAGAUAUGACAUAGGACACCAAUUGCGAAGGCAGCUCGCUAAACAGAUAUUGACGCUGAGGCACGAAAGCGUGGGGAUCAAACAGG